rnacentral:lncRNA from 1 species
GUUCUCGCCUCGGGGUUACCUGGGGAGCUCCGCUGCUCCCUCUACCUGUGACAGGUCCCCUCCUUUCCCCUGGCCCGGCUCGGUUGACGCCCAGCCAUUUAAAGCAACAGUGCAUAAUUCUCGGGUGACCUAAUCUUCAGUGCCCCAGCGCACUUAACUACCAAGGGGGCAAUUUAAAGGGGCGGGACCCCAACCACCACCUCCCUUGCCUUACAGGAAACAUCCAGAAGCCUCAUCUUAAAGAAGAAAUAGUAACUCUCUUAAAAAAAAAAAAAAGAAAGAAAGAAAAAAAAAAAACCUUUUAAAAUCCCUGGUGUCCUCUGGGCGUGGCGAAUUUUUAAGUGCUUCACAACAAGAUUGUGCGCACCCUUGCUUCUGAACACUGACCCGUCAGACUUCCUGUCCAGCAUCCUGUCACUUCCAAGUCCUCCCUGGCUCUACCUGGAGGUUGAGGAAAUGACGGCGUCUGGCUUGGACUUCAAAGCCUUGUAGAAAAGAAACACAGGUUCUUCACAAGCUAGGAUCUAGUUUACAGAACAAAGCCCCUGUUCUGGGUGUUUGUGGGAGAGUCUAGGAGAGGCAACAAGUGAGCGCGUUAGAAACAUCUAUCUUGGAGUCAUACUGUCUUGGCUCAAAUCCUUCCACUAUUUAUGAAGAGCAGAGCACAUUUCUUAACUCUCCUGCCUCUUGGGUAAAAUGAAGGUGGUGAGCACAGUACUUGUGAAUUUGGAGUGAGUUUAGUUCCCAGUAGAUGAGUACAGGGCCUCAUGUUGCACUGUAAUGACUCAUGGGCUGCUCAAACUGAAAAAAAAAAAAGAGCCCCUUUAGUGGGGGUGAGUCCAGACAAGGCUCAAGGGGGAUAAGUUCAAUAGGACUGUACUGCAAAGAGCUUGGAGACUUAAAUGGACCUCCUUAAACAGGAAGCUAGCAGCCUCCUAUUCCCUUGGCCUCCCUUUUCAAUCCUACUCGGGCCCCUCCUUCCAGAGCCCGAUUUAUACAGUAUCACACAUGGUCCCCAAAUGUUGCUCUUUAGUUUCCCUAGUAGUAUGGGGGGUGGGGCUGCCAGUACUCCUGAGCAGGCUGGUUUGCCCCCAAUACUUCAGGGAAAGCAUCUGUCCUUCCCCAAGCACUUGGAGAAUACAGCCUUGUUCGGGCUUGGAAGCUCUGGUGGGAGCAGUAUGGGAAAGUGCCCUGCCUGUGGGGAACCUCCCUCACUGUGGCCUCUAUUUUUAGUGCUUCCCCAGGCUCUAGCUGGAGAAACCGUUUAGUCAUCAGGGUGUUUAUUUUCCGGCUGUUUCCGACGUCGGGAAAAGCAGAAUGUUGAGACUGGAGAGAUUCUGGGCUGCUGUAAAAGACUUCUUAGGAACAGGCCUGGGAACACUGCCUUCAGACCACUGGGUCCCAGCUCAUAGGAAAACAAAACAGGAUGGGCCCGGGACAGCUAAGCCCUCAGGAGUUUUCAACCUGCCUCAACCUUGGAGGCUAUCCAAGCUAGAGAACCCUCUGGCCCAGCUCUAUCUGAGGAUUGUUUCUCAAAACACAACCAAGCCCAGAAGAAAUUCUUUCCCAGAAUCCCCUCCCCAACCUCUCCUAGAUCUGCCUGGUGAGCCUCCCGCCAACCACAGCCCUAGCCAAUCUCAAACCUGAGGCGGGCCUUCCAGAGCUUUGAUUGGUUGGCUGGGCCUUCUAGACCUGGAAUGUUGAGUCCUUAACAAAGGAAUGAGGAAGGAAGGUGAGUCACCUGGGGAAGGUAUUAAAGGACUAGCUAGAAGGAAAAGGAAGGGGGAAGAGCUCCGGGGAGGUGGGGGCCCUGGACGCUAACGUGCUGACGAGACAGCUCACACGAGACCGGACAAGUGGGACAAAAAUCCAGAGUCUGAAAACAUGUUGGAGCAGAAGCGAAGAGGUGACAACGUGAGGUCCUGAUUUCCACAGAGGACCGAAAAGGGCCAAGUUUUUGGAUGAUGCCAGCAAAGACCCUCCAAUCUCUCCCCGCAUCUGCCACUACGCUUGCGAACCGGACCCUCAGCAGGUGGGCGUGUGUAUUCUCAGCGCGAAGGUGGGACGCUGCUUCCACCUUCGCGCCUGUCUCCUCCGGACGCACUGGCUUGCUGGUUUGGGUUCUAAAGGUACUUUUCCUCACCAGCAUCUGAGUUCCUGCGGGGAUGCAGAGCUGGCGUGGAACGCGCUCAGCAAAUGUAUAUGCGCAGCUGUGUGAGUUGGGAUUGUGCAAACUCUAUUGAACACCUUAUUUCGGCAUCGAUAAUCGUGUUAGCCAAGGACAGGGGUCGAGUCUGGGGCCCUACGACUCCGCUUCAGGGCAGAGUUGGGGUGAGGGAUGGAUAGCGGAGUCCGCCGGACGCAAGGCCGGUGUGGCACAGUGGUGCCCUACGCUGAGAGCCAGGGUGCCUCGGACCAGACGCGGGGACGAGAGCAGAGGCCCCUGGAGCUGAGAGGCAGAGGUGCUAGAGUGGGUCCCGAGUCCGUGUACCCCCCACAGGAGCUCCCUGCCCCCGGCUGGGCAGGAUGUGGUGGCAGCUGCAGUUGGGUGGGCAGGAUGUGGGGGUGGGGGCAGACGAGCGCAGCCCGACAGUAGUCUCCCCCAGCUCUUGCCUCCACCCCCUCCGGGUCACGUGCUCUCAGCUUGGGCAUCGACGGACUAUUUCCCAUUUUCCGCGGAAGGACAUCUGAAACCCGUUGUCAUGAACUCAAGUUGUACCACGCCAUUUUCUUGCCCCCAUCUCCAGCCUAGGACAAAAAGUUUGCCCAGCACAAAUUUCUUUAAAGCGAGGAUUAACUCGGAAGAGGCCCCUUUAAAUGCAAAUGACUCGCCUUCUUGCUCCGCUCCUCCCAACCCCCAUCCCAACUUCUCUCCUCGUGCCCAAACUCCAGCAGCUGCUAUUGACGUCAAUCGUGCGUCAGCAUAGCCAGCCCAACCAGACAGCACGUGGGGGGAAGAAGGCGAUCUUAAAGCGACAGUCGCUCAGGGCCUGUUAGGUUGCCGGAGAAAGGAAAAGUCAAGUGGAAUGUUGGAAACAGUUGGAGCAGGAAGAAAUGCAGGGGAGACUUUCAGAAGGACCGCAUAAGGCCAGCGAAGUGGCUCAGGGGAUUAAAGGUGCUGUGCAAGCCCGAGAAUCAGCUCCCCAAAAUUAUCCUUUGACCUUCACAUACAUCAUUUUCUUCCUUCCCCAAACGUACAGUACUAAUAAAUCUGUUUUAAAAAGACUUCUCAGAAUAGGCUGGCACUGAACUAAAUAAGAAGCUGAGGAUGACCUUGAACUUCAGUUUCUCCUGCUUCCCAAGCGUGUUAGGAUUACAGCACUAUGCCCAAUCCUCCUCUCAGUUGCCUUUAAUAAGCAGCUAGACUCCACUGGUCAAGGUACUCGGACCCAGCAGGCUGGAACCUCAGCAGGUUUGUUGUGACAAUGAGCUCCCACAUGUGGCACCUGCUAGCUGCCAGUCUUCUGCCAUUCAUCCUGGUAUGGCCCCACCUCCUGCAGCCCCCUCUUCUAAGAGGAGAUGGAAGCUGAAAUCCUGGUCUUAUAUGCUCCAGACCUAAGCCAGGGCUGACUGCUGAGGGGGGUACACGAAGCUCUGAGAAAGCCUCUUGUUUAGAGAAAGAGUUGGAGACAAAAAGGGUGUAAGUGUUUUUUCUCUUCAUCCUUGCUUUAUGCCACCACACUGCUCACUAGGGCUUGGAGGCUCUCGGACAAGGAAACUUGAAGAUCAUAGAGGCCAAUGAGUACACCCAUGCCCAUCCAGCAACAAGUGGCUGUGGAGCCAGAUGGCCCCUCAUGCCUAGGAUCCCAGCUUUCCCAAGGCUGAGGCAGGAGGACUGCUGAGAAGCCAAAGCUAGUGAGACUGUGUCUCAGAAAACAAAAGGAAAACCCAGAAAGUAGCUGUGGGAUUCCAGUUCCGUACUGCAUGUGAGCAGACAGGAGUGAUAGGGACAGGGAAAAACCAGCUGGGACCUUAUCACUGCUGAGGAAGACAGCCAGCACCCCAUGAUCAUAGUGACAUAUCCAGAGAUGGUGGGGGGCAAGUACUGAGUUUAACAAGUCUUUCUCGAUGGGCGUUGGUGGGGCACGCCUUUAAUCCCAGCACUCGGGAGAGGCCAGCCUGGUCUCCAGAGCAAGUGCCAGGAUAGGCUCCAAAGCUACACAGAGAAACCCUGUCUUGAAAAACAACAACAAAAACAAACAAACAAAAAACAAACAAACAGCUCCCACCAGCUCCCUAAUAAUGACAUGGAGACUUCUUAUUAAUUAUGAAAGCCCGGUCUAUAGCUUAGGCUUGUUUUUAACAAGUUCUUAAAACUUAAAUUACAUUAGCCCAUCUGUAUUGAUCUACAUUCUAUCACAUGACUCAUGGUUGUCACCUCUCUUCCCGCACAUCCUGCUUGCUCUGUGUCUCUAUCUUUCCCUUCCCAGAGUCCUCUGUGUUCCCAGAAGUCCCACCUGUACCUCCUGUCUAGGUAUUGACCAUUUAGCUCUUUAUUACACCAAUCAUAGCAAUACCUCUUCACACAGUGUACAAAUACCCCGUAUCACUGAAGCAUACUUAGAACGAGACCUUACAAGCACAUGGUGAAGGUGUCACCAAGAAAAAACAAAAAAGAAGGGCGGAAUGAUUGCUGCUCUUCCAGAGGACUGGAAUAAUUCAGUUCCCAGUAGCCAGGUCAUAUGUGGUGGUUUGAAUGAGAACUGUCUCUAUAGGUUCAUAUAUUUGAACGCUUGGUCCCCAGCUGGUGGAACUGUUUGGGAAGGAUUAGGAGGUGUGGCCUUGUUGGAGGAGGUGUGUCACUGGGGGUGGGCUUUGAGGUUUCAAAAGCCCACAGCAUUCCCAGUUAGGACUCUCUCUCUGCCUGGUACUUGUGGAUCAAGAUAUAAGCUCUCAGUUACUGCCCCAGCACCAUGCCUGCCUGUUGGCUGCAAUACUGCCUGACAUGAUGGUCAUGGACACACUCUCUGAAACUGUAAGCCCAAUAAACUCUUUCUUCUCUACGUUUCCUUGGUCAUGGUGUCUUCACAACAAUAGAAAGGUAAGAUAUUGGGGCUGGAGAGAUGGCUCAGAGGUUAAGAGCACUGGCUGAUCUUCCAGAGGUCCUGAGUUCAAGUCCCAGCAAACAGAUCUGGUGCCCUCUUCUGGCAUAUAGGCAUAUAUACAGACAGAACACUG